UACAGAGGUCCCAAGCGUUGUUCGGAAUCACUGGGCAUAAAGGGCGCGUAGGCGGCUUUCUAAGUCAGGGGUGAAAUCCGGCAGCUCAACUGUCGCAGUGCCUUUGAUACUGGAGAGCUCGGGGGAGGUAGGGGUCUGUGGAACUUCCGGUGGAGCGGUGAAAUGCGUUGAUAUCGGAAGGAACGCCGGUGGCGAAAGCGACGGACUGGAUCUCUUCUGACGCUGAGGCGCGAAAGCCAGGGGAGCAAACGGG
rnacentral:rRNA from 1 species